AUAGCUACGGCGGUACACAUUCUAAAAUUGGAACAAUAAAGAGAAGAUUAGCAUGACAUCUGUGCAAGGAUGACACGCAAAUUCGCGAAGUGUUCUAUAUUUUU